GGGUCCGGACACACUGAGGAUUGACAGAUAUACGCUCAUUGCAGUUCGCUGCAUGAGCUGAAAGAUGCUAGUUCUUUCAUGAUUAUGUGAUAGGUGGUGCAUGGCCGUUCUUAGUUCGUGGAGUGAUCUGUCUGCUUAAUUGCGUAUCAAUAAUAGAGACCUAGUAUACGCGUGGAUUUCGCGUGGUAGUGACCCCCUGUUUAACGACAGGCGUGUGUCGCACACGCGUACCUACGCACUGGUCUCAGAUAGCAACGAACGUGACCGUAUUCUAUUGUUGCAGUGAAAUGUGCCUUCGGGUACGACCCACUGCUUAGUAUAUGUACGUGCUUCGGCGCGAACAAUAUACAUUAAACUAUAGAGACCGCUGUUUCUUCUUUAAACCAGAGGAAGGAUACGGCAAUAACAGGUCUGUGAUGCCCUCAGAUGUUCCGGGCUGCACACGUGCUACAAUGAUCAUUGCACUGUGCAUCUAACCCAAUGUGCGCGGACGCCGCAUGCAUGUGCCUUCGGGUACACGCAUUGCUGUUGCGACCACGCCGAACCUACCUCGAAAGUAAAAUUUCUCAGUGGGU
rnacentral:rRNA from 1 species